GGGCCCGCACAAGCAGUGGAGCAUGUGGUUUAAUUCGAUGCAACGCGAAGAACCUUACCAGGCCUUGACAUCCUCGGAACUUUCUAGAGAUAGAUUGGUGCCUUCGGGAACCGAGUGACAGGUGCUGCAUGGCUGUCGUCAGCUCGUGUCGUGAGAUGUUGGGUUAAGUCCCGUAACGAGCGCAACCCUUAUCCUUAAUUGCCAGCGGUUAGGCCGGGAACUCUAAGGAGACUGCCGAUGACAAAUCGGAGGAAGGUGGGGACGACGUCAAGUCAUCAUGGCCCUUACGUGUAGGGCUACACACGUGCUACAAUGGCUAGGACAGACGGCCGCAAACCCGCGAGGGGGAGCCAAUCCGACAAACCUAGUCGUAGUCCGGAUCGGAGUCUGCAACUCGACUCCGUG
rnacentral:rRNA from 1 species